rnacentral:lncRNA from 1 species
CCUCAUUUUUUAGGAAGGAACCACAUGUGAAACCACUUACCUGUUUAACCCUAUGAACUUGAAGAGAACAUGUAAUGCCACUUAAAAUACCUAAGCUCGGGUUCUGCCUUCAGCGACUCCUGGUAGUAGUGCCCUUAUGAGCCAUUUAUCAAGAAGAAACCAGGGCACUUGGAAUGUUUUGAGGGAGGCAGAUCUGUCCCCGUCAUGGAGCACUGACUACCAUCUUCCCUGAACUCUUACGUGAGGAAGAACAAACCUCUAAGGUUGUACAAGAAGCAUGGUACCAGCACCUGCUUCUGGUGAGGCCUCAGGCUGUGAUAGGAUCGCAUUCUGUCACCCAGUCUGGAGUGCAAUGGCAUGACCUUGGCUCACUGCAGCCUCGAUCUCCCAGCCUCAAUCAAUCCUUUCACCUCAGCCUCCUGAGUAGCUUGAACUACAGCUGAGGAUGCUAUGAAAACCCCUUGAGGAAACAAAGGCACCUUGGGGGCCAUUGAGAACUCCUGACGAAGAGGGCUCAGCUGCCAGACCUGCUCAAGAAAGACCUCAGAAAUCUCUAUGGGGCUGUCAGAAGAAAAGGUUUGAAAAGGGUCUGGAGAGACUGAAAUUUGUCUGCCUUGGACUUUUCUUUUGACAAUUCACAUCCAACUUAAGCAGAAUCAUUGUUUAUUCUUAUUAUGCCAGGUUUCCUUUUCUGGUCUGCAGGUUCUCUAGGGUUUCAUAGGCUAGUAGUUGGAAUUUUCAUAUUUCCAAAGCAUUGGGGAUUUUGCAAAAACAAAAUCUAAAGGAUAUUCAGCAGCACAGUUUACUUAGGAGGUUUUAAUCAUAAUAAUCUGCAUAAUGUAUGAGAAUUUCUACCUCAGCUGCCUCCUUUCUUUCUCUUUCGUGUCUGGGAAAAAGCCAGGGAUUUUUCCCUUCCUCUGAUUUAAAUACCUUAUAAAAUUUUGGUGGAAGCAUUUUGUCCUAUUCUGUCUUCCUGAUUCAUUUUCUGCUGUAAUGAGCAAAAUUAAUUUGCAAGAGCUGCUACUGACAUAGUGUAAUAAACUGGGUCAUAGGUAGAAUCAGUGCCGCCUUAUGACCCUUAGCUGUCAUUGCUUUAAGGAAUUUGGCAUGGUCCUCGAAGGCCAGAAGGCAAUGUGGGUUGCAUCCUACAGCUUUUGAGAUCUCAGAGACUUACUGCACCCAUGGCUGGGAAUGAACUGUAAAUGCUGACACUGGUAACUAGGUGCCAAACUGAAGUGAUCACAACCUAAUCUGAGCCAAAAGGCAUUUCUUUGCAUCAGGCAUAAAGCAACAUCAAACUCCCAUAACCCACACACAACACAGAAAUCAUUACUGAAGAGAUUCAACAUCAUCAUGCCAGACACUAAGUGAGUUAUUUCUCUCCUUCCCUGUCUCACCACAGUUUCCUCCCACUUGGUCACACAUGGUAAGCAUUCAUGUGUGCGAAGGCAUUUUAUGCCUUCGACCUAACCCCGACCACAGUCCCCUAGUCUUAUCAGAGAUCUGCACUCCCCACCAUUUGAGCACGAUGGAGUGCAUAUUUCCAGUGCAAAAAGACUGAUAUCAUUAUGAUUUUCAUUAACUAGUUGCCAGCUUGCAUUCUUUUUUCUCCCUUUUUUUCUCUCUCAACAGCACUUCUGUCCUCAGCCCAACCCCAGCCAGAAAAGGUGUUGCUACAUUCAGUGAAAAAUUAUUAUUAGUAUAGACAUGAAAUUUGAUGAUAAUGUAGAUUGUUUUGUGUCAUCUGCAGGCUGUCACAAUACACUCUGCAUCACUGAAAUGUGUUGACCAGAAGGAUGAUGGUGUUGUCAUGAUACUGAGGUCUUUUAAUUAAUUACUUUGUGACUUUCAUAGCAUUUAGAAAACGGAGAACAGGGUAUUUUCUUGAACAGCCUAGCCAAAUGAAAAACUGGUUACUAAUGUAUGUUAUCUUCAUGAAUGAAGGCAUAAAAUAAUAAAAACAAACAAAUUAAAAAUUGUUAAUAAAUUAAUA